rnacentral:lncRNA from 1 species
AGCAAGUGUCAUCUAGUCAAAACGAACGACGCUAAGUUCAAUCUUUAACCAUAUAGGGCUAGGGUUGAAGAAAACUGACCGAUUGCGAAGGAAGCUCUCUCGAUCUCCAAAUGGGAGCUAGAGUCCUUCCAAUCUAACCUAAACAAAGGUUCUAAACCCAUCAAUUAGGUUCCAAAGCCCUCAAAUCAAAAAUCCCCAAAACUAACCCUAGAAUCCCAAUCUAGGGUUUCAUCUAGUAAAACCUAGAAAAACAUGUAUUAAAUGGGGAUUACAAGCUACCAACCUCAAGAGAAGCUUCAAUCCAAGCUCAAAACCAAGUAGGGUUGAAGUUGGAUCCUCCACAAAGCUUCAACCGCAAGCUCGAAGCCACCAAGGUGAGAAAAUGGGGAAGAAGAUGAUGCUCCAAAGCCUCCAAGCAAGCUCCUUCUCCUCUUCUUCUUCUUCUUCUUCUUUUCCCUCUCUUCCUCUCUCUAGAAUAGGUGGGAAGGGAAGGAAUGAGGAGUGAAGAUGGUGAAAUGGCCAUAUAGACCAUCUAAAGCAACAAAAUCCACUUUGGCCCCUCAAAAACUCAAAAUUACAUCAGCCCGGUCUGGGCAGUUUUCGCCCAGAGGGACCGGUCUCCCCGACUUGGGACCGGUCUCUCAGCCUGCCCCGAAAACCCAACGUUCGGGAACCGAUCUCUCCCUGCGCGGGACCGGUCUCUCCUCGCGCAGACGCGCUCGGGGACCGGUCUCGACUGCCAUGGACCGGUUGCCUCGCCGGCUGCGCAGCACUGCUCACUGGGGGACCGGUCUCUCCUAUCAGGGACCGGUCCCCGAGAGUAAAACUCUCAGGACUCAGCCAAAACUCUAGAAAUUGAACUUUUAGGCCGGUAUAUCAUCGACGGCCCUCCACCAAGUGUGGAAAAGUUCGGAACACAGAUCGAACACUUGAACCUCGCAAUUUGCAAAAGUCCAGUGUGCUACAUUCACCACAUUUCGAGAGUAGACCAGAAUAUCAUCGAUGAACACCACGACGAACCUGUCUAGAUAAGGCUUGAAAACACGGUUCAUUAGAUCCAUAAAAGCUGCCGGGGCAUUAGUAAGCCCGAACGGCAUAACUGUGAACUCGUAAUGUCCAUACCGUGUUCUGAAAGCCGUCUUCGAUACAUCCUCGGGUUUAAUCUUCAACUGGUGGUAUCCCGACUGCAAGUCUAUCUUGGAAUACACACACGACCCCUGAAGCUGAUCAAACAAGUCAUCGAUCCUUGGCAACGGAUACUUGUUCUUGAUCGUGACUUUGUUGAGUUCACGAUAAUCCACACAAAGGCGAAGCGAUCCGUCCUUNNNNNNNNNNNNNNNNNNNNNNNNNNNNNNNNNNNNNNNNNNNNNNNNNNNNNNNNNNNNNNNNNNNNNNNNNNNNNNNNNNNNNNNNNNNNNNNNNNNNNNNNNNNNNNNNNNNNNNNNNNNNNNNNNNNNNNNNNNNNNNNNNNNNNNNNNNNNNNNNNNNNNNNNNNNNNNNNNNNNNNNNNNNNNNNNNNNNNNNNNNNNNNNNNNNNNNNNNNNNNNNNNNNNNNNNNNNNNNNNNNNNNNNNNNNNNNNNNNNNNNNNNNNNNNNNNNNNNNNNNNNNNNNNNNNNNNNNNNNNNNNNNNNNNNNNNNNNNNNNNNNNNNNNNNNNNNNNNNNNNNNNNNNNNNNNNNNNNNNNNNNNNNNNNNNNNNNNNNNNNNNNNNNNNNNNNNNNNNNNNNNNNNNNNNNNNNNNNNNNNNNNNNNNNNNNNNNNNNNNNNNNNNNNNNNNNNNNNNNNNNNNNNNNNNNNNNNNNNNNNNNNNNNNNNNNNNNNNNNNNNNNNNNNNNNNNNNNNNNNNNNNNNNNNNNNNNNNNNNNNNNNNNNNNNNNNNNNNNNNNNNNNNNNNNNNNNNNNNNNNNNNNNNNNNNNNNNNNNNNNNNNNNNNNNNNNNNNNNNNNNNNNNNNNNNNNNNNNNNNNNNNNNNNNNNNNNNNNNNNNNNNNNNNNNNNNNNNNNNNNNNNNNNNNNNNNNNNNNNNNNNNNNNNNNNNNNNNNNNNNNNNNNNNNNNNNNNNNNNNNNNNNNNNNNNNNNNNNNNNNNNNNNNNNNNNNNNNNNNNNNNNNNNNNNNNNNNNNNNNNNNNNNNNNNNNNNNNNNNNNNNNNNNNNNNNNNNNNNNNNNNNNNNNNNNNNNNNNNNNNNNNNNNNNNNNNNNNNNNNNNNNNNNNNNNNNNNNNNNNNNNNNNNNNNNNNNNNNNNNNNNNNNNNNNNNNNNNNNNNNNNNNNNNNNNNNNNNNNNNNNNNNNNNNNNNNNNNNNNNNNNNNNNNNNNNNNNNNNNNNNNNNNNNNNNNNNNNNNNNNNNNNNNNNNNNNNNNNNNNNNNNNNNNNNNNNNNNNNNNNNNNNNNNNNNNNNNNNNNNNNNNNNNNNNNNNNNNNNNNNNNNNNNNNNNNNNNNNNNNNNNNNNNNNNNNNNNNNNNNNNNNNNNNNNNNNNNNNNNNNNNNNNNNNNNNNNNNNNNNNNNNNNNNNNNNNNNNNNNNNNNNNNNNNNNNNNNNNNNNNNNNNNNNNNNNNNNNNNNNNNNNNNNNNNNNNNNNCGCUGCUGGCUCCUCGGAUGCUUCGGCGGCCUCCUAGAGUGCGUCUGGCUCGCACCCUCAGCCGCAGGCCUCUUGGCCUUCCCUUUGUCCCUAGCCUCUCGCUGCUCCUGGACCUCUGCCGCGCCGCUCUCCACAAUGAGCGCGCGAUCCACCACCUCCCGGUAGGUUUGGAGGUUAGAGGAUUGCACGAACCGAAAGAUAGACGGUCUAAAUCCUCGCUCGAAGAUGCGGGCCUUGUCCUCGUCGUCCCGCACGACGAAGGGCACGCAAUGCAGAAGCCGAGAAAACUCCCUCUCGUACUCGGCUACAGUCCGGUCGCCCUGGUGCAAGUUGCGCAAGUCUUGCUCCAUCUUCCUCUUGACGCUGGUCGGGAAGUAAUAAGCCAAAAGAAGCUCCUUGAACCUCGUCCAAGUGAUAGCUGCCAAAUCUGUGCGGGGGUUCUCCUGGAGAUCCAACCACCAGCGGUAGGCCUCGCCGUCCAAGUGGUGAGUGGCGAGCCAAACUCUGUCCCUCUCCUCCACGAAGGUAUCGCGGAAGAGCUUCUCCAUAUGCAGCAACCACUUCUCCACGAUCCAGUGGUCGACCUUCUCGCCGUCGAAGACUCGAGGGCUGCACCUCCUGAACUCAUUGAGGCGCUCCAUCAAUCUGUCUCGCUCCACCCCCUCAACCAAAGUAGGGAAUGCAGCUCCAACCGGGGGCCUCUGCACAGGCGGUGCCACCAAAACCUCCUCCUGGGGUGCGGCCGCAGGCGCCGCACGCGAAGAACUGGGCUCGGGGGACGGCGCUCUCGGUGCCACGUCCAUAACUGGUGCUGGCGGUGUAGGGGCCUGAGUCUCCCUAGAAGCUGCUGCCUGCUGCAGUAAGAGGUCCUCCAGGCGCUUCAUCCGCGCCUCCUGUCGGCGCGCCGCCUCAGUCUGCUGUCGGGCUGUCUCCGCCUGCUGAGUGCCCAAAUCAGUGAGGGCCGCAAGCUGGCCCCUCAACUCACGGACCUCGCUGGAUCCGGAGGUAGCGGAGGUCUCGACCACCUCAAAAUUUGCCGCAUUGUCCGCCCCGGCAGAUUGGGAGCGAGUAAUCGGCAUCGUCACUACAAUAUCAUAAAAGCGUAAGUUAGUAAAAACCCACGCUAUCGCAUCCCCGCUCAAACGACAAUACCCAAAUCAUGCGAAAGUAAGGAAGUGUUCUCCACUACUAACUCCUGAUGUUACGUUGUCGGCCGCCAACGUAACCCUCCGCGAAGUUAGAGGCUAAACACUCCAAUUUAACUCCACUUUCUAGAGUUAUCCAAGAUACCCAAUCCAGAUACUUUCGCUUACAAGUCAAAUAGACCUCGUCUCUCAAGAGCCUAUUUCCUAUAGUCCAAUCCGGCCUAAGGUUUGCUAGGUCCCCUAAGACUCAACCCUAGGCUCUGAUACCAAAUUAAUCUGUCACGCCCCGGGACCCAGCGGAAGCCCGCCCGGCACGUGCCCAGACCCGCCAUACGUCUAAAACGUAUAAGGCGUCUGAAAAAAAACAGCAAUAAUAAAAUCAAUAGCGAAAGACAACUAGGAGUAUCAGAGCAUGAUAAAUGUCUAAAGGCUACAACAAGGGAUAAGGAUAAAACUGUAAAUCCACUAAUAAAAGCAUAAAGUAAUACAAAGGAAAUCCCAAAUACAAGUGCUAUAGGUAGAUACAUAGGUGGUCUCUAUACAUGGAUACAAAAACUGUCACCCCCGCCCCGAAUCCACAUACCCAAUUUGGACGGUUCGGGCGCGUCGGACGGCCGCCGAAACGGACAGCACCUCUUCUGUCCGCCAAGGCUAAGCAACGCGGAUCAUGUUAACACUUAAGCACCUCAGGAAUUGUGCUUAAAAUAAACAUACAUGAUCGAAUAGAUGCACACAAGUGCAUAUACAUCAAGAGCAAGAACCACAAGUCGAUAUACUAGUGUAUAAAGAGAGAUAGUCUAACUAUGCACAAUCAUUCAAGCAUUUACAUCAUUUGAAUAUUUAUUUUUCAUCUUCCAAAAAUGUAAGUACAUGUUUUUCAAAAAUACAAGUCUCUCCGAUAUCUAUCUCAAAAUAUCAACUAGUACACUGAGGUUGACUGUCUAAUGGCAUAAGGAAAAUGCUACUAACUAGGCUCACUUAGGUGGCGCUAUGCCGCUUGCAAGCGGUCCUCGCUCGGCUCGCAUCUCUAUGUGUACCUAGUACCCAAAACACGAGCGGGGUUGAGAACUUAAUAUAAAUAUAGUUCCCAGUGGGUUCGGCCGCCAGACGCCGCCGGUUUUUUCCCACUAGGUUCUAAGCUGCACAGAAUAGUAGAGGUAGAUAAUAUAUAAAGAGAUAACUUGCAAACUACUCUAUUCAUUCCAUCAAAUAAUGAUAUGCAUGCAACAACUACUAUCAGCGAGAAUCAUGUCAAUGAGUAUAUAAAAGUACAUAGUAAUCGCAAUCUACACAUACACUAUGUCUACUCGAGGUAAUAAUGCAAGUCUACUCAUAGGAUGUUCUACACAUGCUACCAUAUACCUCGAUAGUAUCUCAAUCUCAUGGCAACCCGCCGAAGGUUGCCACCCGGGACAACACGACUCACUCUCAAUGCUCUAGGUGAGGAAAAACUGCACUCGCACACCGAGACCGUCUGCUGGGACAACCCUGUAGAUACUCCAGAGACUCUGUGCCUCGGGGAGGACACCGACAAGCCGAAAACAGACUAGUGAGGUAUGAUGCCAUCCUCACAAAGAGGAUACCCUAUUCUACCAGGGGUCAAGUACUCAACUGCACUGAAUGUCAACAUGCAUAAUGUCUCACCAUGACAUAUCGGGAAAUCUACUAUCCCUAGGUUUCAAAUCCAUAGUGUUGCCACACACUAGCAUUUGAUGCCACUGCAUUAUGUCAUGAUGCUAGUAUGUUGUCCUCAAUAACUCACUAAAUUGACAUGCCACUCGUUCUUGUUAUAGUGUUCUAUUAACUAAUCCAAUAUGCCACUUGUUUUCAUCAUCAAUGAAGUCCAUAUUUAACCAUUCAUUCGUGUCACUAUAAAGGAUCUUGUCAGCAUUGACCCAAAUCCUCAUGCAACCUAAGUUCGUAUGUGUUCAAAGCCCACCAAUCGCCUACACUACCAAUAGGAAACAUGCAAGGAAAUGGAAUGUAAUCAUCUAUUAUCCUAUAUGAUGCACAAUAUCAAUUAUAUGAAUAUGAUCAAAUAAAACUUAGAGCAUAAAAAGGAGCCCCGGAUUGUUCGGGAUACACCCCACGUUUUACCGCUAUCACGAAGCUAGUUCUCAAUUUGCACGUUCCCUAGUCGCGCGCCUUUAUUCUUCGGUCUACACAAGGCCGCCUGCGCUUGUUUCUGGCCAGAAGUCGGCCGAACGCUCGACGAAUUGACGAACCGACGCUUCCCACCACGCGUUAGGCACUCAAACACAAACUUUUUCCUCAAGCCAAGUAAUGGGACUUCCACUCCAAAGCAAACCUUUUCUCUCCAAAUGCACCUCCAAUUCCUCCUCUUUUGGUGGAGAAAUUUGUUAAGAGAAAGAGAGAUCUUUCUCUUUGGUUGCAAGUGCUGUGGAAAAAGAAAGAAAAGGCUCAGCCCCUAUAUAUAUAUAGGAAAACUUGCCUCCAAGUUUUCAUGAGGAAACUUGUCAUCCAGUUAACUUGGCCUCCAAGUUUCAUAGGAAACUUGGCCUUCAAGUUUCAUAUGAAACUUGGCUCCAAGUUAUCCAAGAACUAUUUCACAUUCAUUUUAGCAGCACAGUACAGAUAUUUUUUCGUGCUGCCCCCUGUUUCUCUUCACAGAGAAAUUUACAUCUUCAUGUUUUCCGAGCUCCCCAUUUCAACAACGGUCACCUAACAUUUUUUUUUAUAAUUUAAUGUCUAUAAGUCCAAUAAAAAUAGUAUCCAUUACUAUUUUUAGUUUAUUUUCAACUUUUACAAUUGUAAAAUCCGUAUGUUACUUCCAACCGCAACCUCAUCGGAACCAUUCUUAAAUGUACACCCGUAACUUCAUAUUUUAGAAGUCCGGUACCGUUACAAUCCUCCCUCCUUAAAAAGAUUUUCUGCUCGAACUCAAAUCUCAUCUCAAUUCGAGUUUUUGGUGGGGGCAUCUCGAGGGUAACAAUGCCUUUUGCACUCCGAGUGGCCUUUUUUCUCAAUCGGAACUUAUCCACAGGCCCACUACAGAGGAAUAUGAGACCAAAUUCACUUCACAUUUGCUUAAAAGCACAAUCACCAAAAGUCACUUACGUUUGCAAGUCUGGUGCAGCGAAGUCCGCAUUCGACAACUCUAACACGCUCGAACAACUACUUCUACGAAUCUAGGAAUAUACUUUCGAUUCGAUCACUGGGCAUCGCCUAGAAGUAAAUAUCAUCUGGUGCAUCGACCCAUCGCAAGUGGCCAUACUAUCACAUCGAAAUUUGCUAUUAACUUACGAGAUGGCACCUUCGCCAUCUCCAAUGUUAACCUCUCAGAGAGCAUAUUCUCUAUCUCGUGUCGUAAUCAAUAUCCAAUGUCCUCCAAAGACCACUUUAAUCUUCUCUUUCCCGUGCGGGCUGAUAUCAAUUCGUUCCUGUAAAUGAUUCAUACGAACACUUGUUUUCGCGGGAAUCCGAGCCACCUCACUAAACUGAGUUCCGGCCAAAACCGCUCACGCUUGGCUUUCGCAUGGGUGGACAAAAGGUCACCAACCAUAACGUAAAUCUACCGCCUCGAACCUGUCCUCAACACGUAGCGUCUCUCGCUCGCAGCGUAGACCAUAAUCAACACUACUGGGCCGAUAAUUCUCACUUGGAAUCGCACACACUUCCGACUCAAGAGCAAAAUAUGAACCCGCAAACCACGUCAAAGGUUCUCGGUUGGGUUACUAACACUCAGGCUGUGCAUCAAUCUCUAGAAUCCAACAAGUGGCAUUCCCGCCCCGAGUUCUAUCUCGACUACCGCCUGACCAAAAUAACUUUGCACUACCCGUGGUACGCGGGCCGCUGCCAAAUCGCAGCCAUGACUGUGCCCACCCAAAUGGGCUCAGGCUUCAACAGUCCACCAAAUUCAGGCACGGGUUUCCCAAAGCACUACGCCACGCUCGUCGUCCUAACACGAUCAAAUGUUCUAACCGAGCACAUAUAGCUACUAUCGGCUCCUAAGCAGCCUACUGCGAGCCGCCGCCGCCACGAGUGACCCAUGGCCCGCUUACACUUAAGCAAUGCACAUGCUACUCGCCAUCAUCACUCCCGCCGGCUGAAUAUUGAAAAUCGCACAUCCACGAGUAUUUACAUCUCGAGGCGCUCUAAACGCUCUACACGUUCACACGAAAAUCUAGCAUUAGGCACUUGCUUAUGCACAGCCGGCGCACGAGUCACAGCCGGCCUACCUCACCUUAGGUCCUACUAGGCCCACGUGCUCAAAGCUUGGCCACUAUCGAACCGGGUUCUUCACAAUGAUCUCUACCUUCACCGUCCAAUCUAUCGAACAAUAUCCGAAAUUUCGGAUUACUCGGUGCCUACAAAGUAUCAUGGCUCAACUCUCGCAAUUCUCUGAUCAUUUGGCCUUGAAGAGUCGCUUCACUUUCAUCUAACACACACCGAGUUCCUCAUUUCUCGUCCAUAGGCACUAACUAAGCAAUUUGCUAAGUGACGUCUAGCUCUCUACCUGCUGCCAGCAGGCGCUAUAUCUCCUCUACACAAGCAUGCGGGUACCUCUACCUACCCGUUCACUGGUCCCUACUAACUAAUAUAAAUAGUACAACUGACGCAUGAAAUGCAUGCAAUGCACCAAUUUAGAUAUCAUCGUCAGAAAAAACACACAUUUCUGCAUAAACCAUACCUGCCGAUGGCUCCUUCGACAGCAGCAGGUUCCUCGACUUGAGCGGCAAAACACUUGUCCACUCGGAGUCGACUUGUCCACCUCGACAGACGAGGUGGCCAUCACACGUCCAACUGACGCAACUUUUGCGGGAGAUCAGUAGUAGGGCUUCCUCCAUAAUGGCCCGGAAUUGGCCGGAGCCGAUAACAGAGACAGGACAGGCGAGGUCCUCCUUGGGACAAUGGCGGGCUGAUUGUGCCCGGAACGCCUAAGACCACUAUGUGAAGCACUUCCCCUUUCUGGCUUCGCAAUGGUUCGGGUCAUGUUUAACCCCCGCUAAAAUGACGCACGUUCCGAUCCCGCACUCUGGAACCGCCGUGCUCUGCGGGUACUUUCGAGCGUUCUUAGAACCUGAUGACCUCUCGAGCCAUCAGAAGCCGCUUUUACCGCGUUCCCUCCCUUGGACGCCUGCUCGCCCUCGCGGUACGUGGCAUUACUAUGGCUCGUGGCCCACACGCAUCGAGCGGAGCACUUCCGCAAAUGUAGUGCGCUUCAGAAAUGAAAUGCUACUAUUAUAUAUCCGCCAGAGCUCGCUCUCAUGAACCAUGCCCGAUUCUCUAUCGUCUCGCACACACGUCUGGGGACGGGCAGUCGAUUAAUAUGUGAGAACUCCUGCUCGUUACUCUUGCGAGUGCCGACGUUUCCUUCGCUUUUAACUUUCGAAGUUUAUUCGGAGCUUUCUUUUUCUUCACUAUCGGGGACCAUAAUUGUACAUAAAUAACAAACUCCGAAACCCUUUCCCACAUCAAACUGGCGGAAGGUCGGGAGACCGAUCUCGCUGAUCCGCUUCCACCAACGCUUUCGCCGCCCGUGUCCAGAGCAAUGAGAUUGGCGAAGGGGAACUUUAUCCUUCUUUAAUAUAAUAGAGUCUUCGAAAAAGCGUCUGCCCAUCGAGUCCCACCCACCCGGCGACUCGACGCAUACCAAGCUCAACAAUCUCCCCGUUGAACAUCGGUGGACUGAAACUUACGAAAUUUCAUAAGAGCCGCAAAGCGCGCGAUCCCUCUCCGCUUCCGUCAGCUACAACUCUUCGGGAAUUGAAGUCCCGGAACCAAGUAGCCACCAUCGUCAGCUCGGAUUGCGCGCGCAAAACCGCACAGCUGCCGUGGCCAGGCACCCUCUGUCAGCGACGGGCAGAGCACCCGAGUCGCGGGCCGCUCAACAUUCGGCUUGAGCCGACGGCCAGCUGCGCUACCCCGAACUGUUGUAGCCUCGCAAUCUGGUCCUCUGGCGCUGCAUCACCCGACCAAUCGAGGCGAUCUUGCGCUCGCGAAUUCACGCGGCACUUCUUCAGAUCCCGACUUCUCCGAGCACCAUCUCGGGAGGUUGGCUGCCAGAGGGAUCUAGUUACGGGGCCGUCUCUUCGGUGGCCAUAGCACCUGAAACGCAACAACUUGGUUAAUCACCUAACGGCCGUUAAUCUCUGCAACGUACUAGACAAGCGACAGCAAAUCCGCCAUAAAGCGGGCAGUACACCCAUUGUAUUAGUCUAAUGCUUAGCGUGCGUGUUGUCGGCCGCCAACACAAAACUCUCGAGGCUCGAACUAACACCGCUCGGUAUCUAUCUCUGUCCACUAGAGAUCUAUACUCGAUACCGAGCCAAUCGAUUCUUCCGUCAUCGCGAUUCAGUGUUUACAGUUUCUCUUCACGUACUAUACUACACUAGGUUCACCGUCCUAGAAGGUCUCUAGGUCCAUCCUAGACCUCUCUUUACUCUUGCUCUUAGAUUGGCUCUGAUACACACUGCUACCGCCCGAACCUACCAAAUUGGGCACGGUUCGGCGCGACGGACGGACAGGCCAACGGACACACCUUUUCUUCUGUCGGCACCAAGGCUAAGCCAUACCGGAUUCAUGUACAGUUAAAGUACCUCAGGAAUUUUGCUUAAAUAACAUACAUGAUCGAAUACGAUGCACACGAAGUGCAAUACAUCUAAUAGCAAGAACCACAAGUGAUAUACAAGUGUAUAAAAAGAGAUAGUCUAAGCUACACAUCAUAUCACAUUUCUCAAUUUGAAUAUAUUAUAUUUUCAUCUCUCAAAAUGUAAGUAUAUGUUUUCUUCAAAGAUACCAAUUAGCGUCUCCGAUAUCUAAUCCAAAAUUAUUCAACUAGUACACGAGGUUACUCUAAUCAUAAGGACAAAGUACUAACUAGGCCUCACUUAGGCGGCUAUGCCCUUGCCACGAUCCUCGCUCGGCUCGCCUCUAUUGUGUAUCCUGUCCCCAAAACCGACACGGGGUGAGAAUCUAUAAUAAUAUAGUUCCCAGUGGGUUCGCUGCCCGACGCCCGCCCGGUUUUCUCCACUAGGUCUAAGCCUCGGCACAUGAUAGAGAGGUAGAUAGAGUAUAUAAAGAAGAGAUUAAACUUUGGCAACUACUCUAUCAUGCCAUCCAAAAGUAAUCGAUAAUGACAUGCAACAACACUAUCAUGCGAGAAUAUGUCAUGAGUAUAUAAAAGUACAUAGUAAUGCAAUCUACCAACAUAACUAUUGUCUACUCGAUGUAAAUAAAUGCAAGUCUACUACAUAGUGAUUCUCUAACAACAUGCUACCAUACGCUCGAUAGUAUCACAAUCUCAUGGCCAACCCGAAAGGUUUGCCACCCAUCCGGGGACAACGCCACGACUUCACAAUCUCAAGUCUCAUAGGUAGGUAGGAGAACUCACUCGCACACUGGUCUACGCGAAGACCGUCUGCCGAGAAUCACAACGCCUGUGAGAUACUCCGGAGACUGCGUGUCCUCUGGUGGAUGCGUCCACCGACAAGCGAUAACAGACUAUGAGUAUGAUCCAAAUCUUCACAAGAGGAUACCUCUAUUACGCAGGGUCCAAUGUCCUUCCCAACUACACUAAUUGUCAAAUGAAUGAAUGUCUCCAACAUGACAAUCGGGAAAAUCUACUAUCCCUAGGUUCAAAUGCUCAUAUGUUGUUCCACUCACUAGAUCUUGAUGCCACUUCCAAUGUUAUGUCAUGAUGGCUAUACUGUGUCUCAAUACACUAAAUUGACAUCCACUCGUUCUUGUUAUAGUGUCUCUAUUACACUAAAUCCAAAUCCACUUGGUUUUCAUUCAUGACAAGUCCAAGUUUAACCAUCAUUCGUGUCCACUAUAGGAUUCUUGUCACAUGACCCAAAUCCUAUUGCAACCUAAAGUUCUAGUGUCAAAGCCACAAUUGCUACACACCAUAGAAACAUGCAAGGAAUGGAUUAUGUAAUCAUCAACUAACCUAUAAUGUCACAAUAUCAAUAUAUGAAUAUAAUGCAAAAUAAAAUUAGACAUAAUAAGGAAGCCCGAUUUUCGGAUGAACAUCCCCCCCCGCACCUCUUGUAAGUAGUCACAAGGCAAGGUUCUCAUUGCAAAUCUUCCUAGUCGCUCGCUCUUACUCUUUCGUCUACACAAGGCCGCUCGUUGUUUCCUGCCAGAACAAUCGCACCCUCGACGAAGUCCGACGAACCGACGCUUCCCAACACGCUUUAGCGCACCCUUCAACAGCAAAGCGUUUGGAGCUUUCCUCAAGGCCAAGUAAAUGAAGACGAUAAAGAGCUUCACCUCAACGCCAACCUUUUUCUCUCCAAUGAACCCUCAAUUCCUCUCUUUGUGGAGAAAUUUUGCUAGAGAGAGAGAGAUCUUUCUCUUUGGUUGCAAGUGGAGGGAGAAAUGAAAGAAAAGGCUCAAGUCCCUAUAUGAUAAUAGAAACUCUGGUGCUAAAGGUACCGGGCUUCUUAAGAACUAGAAGUCUAUGGGUGUCAAUGAUUUGGGGAGGGCCAUUUGACAAUGGUCCGGUGGAGAAUGUAAACAUACCAGAUUUUUGGUAUAAAAAUAUAUAAAUAGAAACAUAGUGUGGGAUACUGAUUUUUAUGAUUUCAGAGAAAUAAAACAUAAGUCUUAGAAUUGAACUUGUGCUGAAAUCGGAAUGAAAACAGAGAGAUCUUAAGAAUUUUCUGUCAAAGACGGGGCAGAUAAAAUUAUCAGAAAAUGCUACAGUCUUCAAGAAAAUUAUGAAUAAUUGGCAGAGAUCCGAAAUAUUUUUAUGAGACUAGCUAUGAGUUUCAAUAUUUUUCUGACAUCCAGAAAAAGUUGUGAAUCAGAUUCCGAAAGUAAUCUGAUAAAGAUUACAAGUUCGUCAGGUUUUAGUGAACCAAACGGGGAGUCCGAAUAACUGAAAAUAUUAAGAAUUUCGUUGGACUGCGUUUAUUGUGAAACCUGGGAGCCAGCCUGUCAAGUUUGACUCAAACAGGACAUUCAGUGGAGCUCCGUGCGAAAGAUAUCAAGAUUUUAAACUGCCCGGUAAGAAUGAAAUAUGAAUUUGAGGAGGUUUGACCUUUAAUUUAGAAGCUAAUUAGCUUCUUCUUCUUCUUCUAUAGCGCAGCAGCCUUGCAAGAGCAUCACGCACUGCAUAGGGAGGAGGGAGAAGAAACCUUCUCUUUCUCUCUAAAGAACUCUCUCAUCUCUCUAUACUCUCAGAGUCAAUCGCUGUGGUUGGUGGAGAAGAUGCUUGGCGAAACAGCGUUGUGAGUGGCUGACGGAUCUGAGCUUGUCCGUGCGUGUCGUUGGAGCGAUGUGUUGUUCGUCGCGGCGGUUCACAUUGGGGUAAGCUUUUGGGAUUUGUUUAAAUCCUUCACAUGAUGAUGUUCUUAGUACCUAGAGUGAUCUAAACAUGUUCUCUCGCAUUUAAUUUGGAUUAUUGGAGUUAAUUGGCAUAUUAGGGUUAAAAAAAUGGGAUUUUGCAAAAUGGUAGUUUUUUGUGUUUGAUCUCAUUGAACCUUCGUCAAACCUAAUUGAGGUAACGGAAACGCCGUUGGCGAAGACGGUUCGGCGAUCCGUCGAGCCGUUACAAAGAGUAUAUUAAAGAAAUGGACGUCUUAGGUUCGUUUCCUUCACGCCUGGGAGGCGCCGAGGCGUACGUCAGUAAAUCAAUGGAAAUGGAUUUGAGGCAAUCGUGGCACCAUAACCGAAGACCAUAAAUUUUCGGGGCCGCAUAAAGGCGGAGCACGGUGCGGCGCAGUUGCGAUAUCGGGCCGUGCCGGUACGGAUGCCCGCGGGAGGCGGAUCGCAAGUUCGAUGAAAGCAAUCAUGAUAAUGCAAUAGCGAGGUGGUUGUGUACGAAAGCGACUUGUCCUCCGCAUGUCAAAGCGGAAGUAGAAUCUAUGAUGCAUAAUAUGGAUGUGCAUAUGAACAUGUUAGUAUAUAGAUUAUGUUGACAUGUAGGAGAGCAUGCUAAAGAACAUGAAACAAUAUUAAUGAAUGUCAGCAAUACGAGAAACUGUUAAAUGUAUGAACAUUGUUAGCAGCUAUAGAUUCAUGAUGACAUGUAUGGCCCAGAGCAUGCUAGGAACAUGAGAUCAUGUUAGAUAAUGGUUAAUGGCAUAAUGAGAAAUGUGUUAUAAGUUAAUAUUAUGUGAAUGUAUCCCUAGUUGGUAAUUGCAUAUUAAAUUGUAUGUUAGAGAAUCAUGUAGAGGUGCAUCGCGCAUAUUAAUACGUUAUGAAAAGAUGCAAUUGCUAAAGUACAUUGAUGUAUUGAUAGAACCUCGAUAUGGACCAAUUAAGUAAUCCAAUAAGAUCGAGUGGCACUGAACCUAGCGUCGUGAACUUAGGUUGCAUAAGAAUGAAAGGACUAGUGUUAUGGAACAUGAGGUCGAACAGGAAUGAUCAUAUGAACCUAGUGUUUUAAACAUAAGGUCGGAUAAAUGAACCUAGUGUCGUGAAACCUAAAGGUUGACUAAGUGUAACCCCCGCGGAUCUCGGUAGAAUAUUGAGGACUUUAAGCAAAAUCGACUAAAAUGUACUCCCAAGAGAAAUGUUGGAACGAAGUCCGUAUUUAACAUUCCAACAGUGUUGGAAAGGGUCAAAGUGAGUUUCCAAUGAGGUUCAAAAGGUUCAGAGCAAUUGCUUCGGCGUGAUUGGGGUCGCGAAAAUAAUGCGAGAUGAGGUUCGGGAGCAUUCGGGGCGGUUUUCGGUGCCGCGUAGCGUGAAACGGGACCCGAAAAGGGCUAUGUUGGACCAUGACUAAUAUCGGAUAGCGUUGGAUAAAAGAUGAUGAGAUCGUCUCGAAAACAUGUUAUAGAGCCUCGGUUCGAAUUGAGAUGAAUCGGAGGUCAAACGAACGAAAAACGAGCGAAAACGAGAAAAAGCUGAAUAAAAUUGGCUAAAGUCCUGAAAAAGUGCUCGUGUUACCGGUGAACACCCCGUGUGUAGCGCGUACGUUUCAGUUGUAAAUCCGAGAAGAGAGCUCUCGGUUGGCUUGCUUACGCAGGUCGUGUAUCGUGACACCUAGCCCCGGUACCGUAUCAGUGGACCCGACAGCAAAAAUGAGUCUGCUGGCAGAAUAUGAGUUGUGGGAGGUUUUAUUUGCAAAAUGUACCAAUAUGUUAAUACCCCAAACCCCUCUCCCAUUGCAGGUGCAGCGCUCUCUCUCGCCUUUCUCAAUCCGUAGCAUAGGGCAAAAGAGAGAAGAAGAAAAAAGAGAAGGAUAAAGAGAAGGAGAAAGUGAAAAGAAGAAAAGUAAAGAAGGAGAAGAUGGAGGAGAGGAAGAGGAUGCAUCAACCAAUCAUCAUCCUCUGCAUGCUUCUUCUCUCCCUGGACUCUAGGAGCAGGUAAAGCUUCCAAGCCUGCUCAUGGUAGAUUUUGUAGAAUGAGGUUUUGAAAUCCUAGAUCUUUGAUUUGAUCUCCCUACAAGCUUUAGAACUUCGUAGAGGCCAAAGAGAACACAUAGAAAUUGCAUGCGUGUUGCCUUCAUGAUCUCUAAUGGUGGUAUCCCUAGGGUUGUUUCCUAAUACCCUAGGAUUGAUUCUAAUGAGAUAGAAACAAAGUUUAGAGAAGCUUCUUGGUGAUCUAAGCUCGCAUUAUGCUUAGGUUAGUGAGAUCAAUCGCUAAGAGAUUUUGACUUGAUUGCAUUGUUCUGCGCACCGAAAUUGGGCGCUUUUUGGCCUGCGCUGGGUGUUUUUAAGGCAAAUUGACCUGAAACUAAUUGGGACCUACGGAACGCGUUGGUGCGCUCGGUUCGGCAAUCCGACGAGCGACCGAAGUUUAUUGACGAAAACGAAUCGUUUUGGACAGAUAGCUGCAGGCAACAGCGGAAUAAAGGUCUAAAAAUGCAUUGAGAUCGGAACGCGGAGCAACCUUGGAGUCAAGGAAAUAACUUCCGGAAAAGACGGAUCGCGAUUUGGAGGUCGUUCGCUAAUCGCGCAAAGAGUGCGAGCCAAAACCGGGCAACGGGUUGCCGCGGGAGGCCCGAUUGCAAGUGUCUGAACGAAGCAAUGGGAACGCAGUUUAAGGUGGGUUGUUUUACCGCAAGGGCGACUAGGUCGCCUUUAUGUCUAAUUUUUAAUUUCGUGUUGAAUGAUGUUGAUUGUUUUGGCAUAGUUGAAUAGCUAAGUAGCAAUGCAUAAUAUGAUGUAAGACACUAAAAUUGAUGCAUGAUAAUGUAAAUGAAGCAUGUAAAAAUGAUGCAUUGUAAGCUAAAUAAUGCCAAUGGUGAAUGUGUGAUGUAAUUGCUAAAUAGAAUGCAUUAUGAGGCCAUUGUUGAAUAAAGCUAGAUAAUUAUGUGAUAUGCAUGUAACCAAUUAACUGGCAUAAAUGAAAUGCAAUUGAUGGUAUAAGUUAAAAUAGAUAAUAGAAUGCAUGUUGAGCUAUUGUGAGAUAAAUGUGGCAUGAAACUCGGUUGAAUAACCCUAAGAAUGAUGCUAUGCUAAAGUAUAAGUGAUUAGGCUGAUAUGAAAAUAGUACAUACAAGUACAUGGUAAGAAUUCUGGGGGGGUAAGGAAGGACAAGUGUAGUGGAAUGAAUAAAUAAUAUAGAUCGAGUGGCAUUUUAACCUAGAGUCUUGAAAAGUUAAAUGAGAGUGAUGUUAAACCUAAUGUAAAGAACAUAGUUGUGAAAUGAAAGCUGCUAACUAGGAUAAAUGAACCUAUGUUGGGAAAAGAGUAAAUGAUCCUAUGUGUAAUUAACCUAGGUAGAAUGCUGUGAAAGCAAUAAACCAAAAAAAAAAAAAAAAAAAAAAAUAAAGUAAUAACUUAGGUUGUAUAAAGGAUGUUGACCUAGAGUCAAUUGACGCUAGGAGAUAAAGGCUUAGAGCCUAGAGAAGGUCAGUUCAUAGGGUUAAGCCAACCUUGGUUAAUGUGAUAUGGAUUCGAUUAAUAUAAUCUCAGGCAGUUUCACCAAGCAGGCUCUAGAUGAUCAGUUAAGCAACACAUAACAAGACAGUUAAUUUUAUUGACAAGAAGUAUGACCGAUAGAAAGCAUAUAUUACUCUAACAAAUUACAAAAAUUUAUAAGUUGAUAGCCAAUAUUCAAGUUAACCUAUAUAUCCUCCACGGCCGCCAUUCACGAGCCCAUAGAACCCGAGAAACUGAGAGGACGCGAGACAGAGAACAGAGCACCGCACACACUGCCGGCGAGAACGACCUCAAUGGUGCUCGUCCACAUUCCAUUGCCCCCGUCUCCGCAAAUCCAAACCCUCAAUCGCAUCAGGAAACUCACCAAACCUACAACAAAAACCAAUACUCCCCAAGUAUAGUAAAAAAAAAAAAAUCGCAAUUUUACCCUAACAGAACAGUAGCCAAAUUAAUCCUUUCCCCGAAAGCUUAAAUCAAGACAUUUCGCAAAAGUCCACACAAUCUGAAGGUCAUUCUAAAAGAAUUAAACCGAGAAACAGCAAAAAUCCCAAUUUUUUACGCCUAGAAAACAGUGGCCCAAAAACUAUCCUUUCAAGCACAAAUCACUAAACUCCGCGAACAAUCCUCAGACACGGCUGCGUUAUCAAAGAACACAAAAGUUAACAAAACAAAAAUGCCAAUUUUUACUCUAAAAACAGAAGCAAACUUAAUCCUCAGAGCUCAAAUCAACAAAUUCCCAACAAGUCACACAAAUGCAACCGGUUUCAUUCCCAAAACAUUUUACACCAACAAGGCCCUAAAGCACUACAAAGGCGCGACUUGAGGCCCACCCGCCCCCCCCAUGGGUAAGAUCUCGGAGACGGAGCUCAGCACCUCGAUGAGGCGGCGAAACCCUAAGGACGGCUUAGAGAAAGAGGUAGGGUAGGUGGAAGAGGAUUGAAACGUAGCCUCGAAGCUCUUAAGCAUAGGAAAGGGAUGGGAGGUGGUCCUCCUCUCCGAACUUUUGCAAUAACCCUAGAUAAUGGGGGAGAGGAGAGAGAGAGAGAGAAAGAGAGAGAGGGGAGAGGAGUCGAGUGUGGAGUAGAGAGAGAGAGAGAGAGAGAGAGAGAGGGUGAGUGACAUUUGUCCAAAGUAUAAUUGUGCGGAGUAAAUAAAUAAAAUAAUAAAUAUAAAAAAUAAAUAAUAAUAACAAUAAUAAUUAAAAACGUGAAAAAUAAAAUGAAGAAUUAGAGGGGCUAGCUGAAAUUGCGUUUGAAAAAAGAGUUUUGUUUUUUUUGGGCUAAAAAACAGAAUUUUCCAAUCAUUUUAUGUUUACAAAAAUGCUUUUAUGAAAAAAAAAUCAAUUUUCAUAAAAAAGAAAAGGUUUUUUUGGCAUUGCAUAAAAAUUCCACAAAUUUGAGCUUUGCAAAACGAGCACAUUUUCAAUUUUGUAGAUUGGGUCGAAUUUUUCGUCAUCGGACAAAAUCCUUUAUUCCCUUUCUUUCUCUCAUCUUCUUUUUUGUUCUCUUUCGUGCGUACGCCUCUCCCGCCUCAACCCUUCCCACCCGCUCCAGCCUUCAACCCUCCGCGUACGCCUCUCCGCCUCCGGCCCCUGCCGCCUUCCCACCCGCUGAUUCGUCUGAACCUCUCCGAUAUGCUCCGCCGCCUCGGCCUCGUAGACCUCUACUCCACGCUCCGCCUUAUCCCUCCGUCCCACCGCUCCGCCUCAACACCCUCGCCAAUACGCCUCUCUGCCUCGACUCUCGUAGGCUUGGUGGGGUCCUAGACCGAUCUCGCCCUGGAGCCCGACGAUGUCGCGACUGCAUCUGGCGAGGUCGCGGAUGGAGAUUCGCCGGCGCCACUGCCCGACGUUGACCGUGGUCAAGAGUUGGAGUAGCGGUCCAUGAGAAGAUGAGGGGCGUCAGCGAGUCGUCGACGUGGAGCGAACUCCGGAGCCGGGCGCCGGAGCCCCAGACGACGAUUUUUCUCUACGGCUAUGGCACCUGAGCCCUAGCAGGGCACCUAUCUUUAUUAUUUAGGCACCUAAUCGUAAUGGUGUAAAAAAGAAAAAGGAAGAGAAGAGGAGGAUAUGGAUAAAUGAUCAAUUUUGGGCGAAAAUGGUGUAAAAUUGGACAAAAUUUGCACAUUUCUCCUCCUCCUCCCCUUCUCUUUUUCUUCCCUCGGCUCCGCGUGCAGGCGGCGCACCUGGGCCGUGGUGGCGGAUUACGGAGCUAGCUCUGCGAGCAAGGGGGGCGCGUGCGGGGCGUUUGGAUGGCCCUACACGGUGGUGCCGAGAACGACAACCGUGGGCCGGCUGUGGGCUUCUCAGAUGUCGGCUUCAUACUCAACUUCCUACCAUCGGAUCCGCAUCUGUGCGCCCUCGUUAAAGUCUAGCGCAACUGCUCACCNNNNNNNNNNNNNNNNNNNNNNNNNUAUGCAUGCAUUCUACUCAUAUAGCUCUACUAUAUAGUGAAAUUUUCAUAAUACACAAGGCAUGCAUUUUAAGUGCUCUAAAAUUCAUAUAAAUUUUAUUUAGCAUAGAAAUAAAUUUAAAAAUAUUUUACAACAAUUAGAAAGAGCAUAGGGGUCAUUUCGCCCCAUUUCCAUGAAGCCAAACCCACCGUCGUCAACGAAGGCUUUCGUUUGCCACGAGGAAGGCGUCCACCACACUCCUAGUACCCUAAAGGUAUGAAAGCAAGUGUCAUCUAGUCGAAACGAACGACGCUAAGUUCAAUCUUUAACUAUAUAGGGCUAGGGUUGAAGAAAACUCACCGAUUGCGAAGGAAGCUCUCUCGAUCUCCAAAUGGGAGCUAGAGUCCUUCCAAUCUAACCUAAACAAAGAUUCUAAACCCAUCAAUUAGGUUCCAAAGCCCUCAAAUCAAAAAUCCCCAAAACUAACCCUAGAAUCCCAAUCUAGGGUUUCAUCUAGUAAAACCUAGAAAAACAUGUAUUAAAUGGGGAUUACAAGCUACCAACCUCAAGAGAAGCUUCAAUCCAAGCUCAAAGCUAAGUAGGGUUGAAGUUGUAUCCUCCACAAAGCUUCAACCGCAAGCUCGAAGCCACCAAGGUGAGAAAAUGGGGAAGAUGAUGAUGCUCAAAGCCUCCAAGCAAGCUCCUUCUCCUCUUCUUCUUCUUCUUCUUCUCCCUCUCUUCUUCUCUCUCUAGAAUAGGUGGGAAGGGAAGGAAUGAGGAGUGAAGAGAGUGAAAUGGCUAUAUAGACCAUCUAAAGCAACAAAAUCCACUUAGGCCCCUCAAAAACUCAAAAUUACAUCAGCCCGGUCUGGGCAGUUUUCGCCCAGAGGGACUGGUCUCCCCGACUUGGGACCGGUCUCUCAGCCUGCCCCGAAAACCCAACGUUCGGGAAUCGGUCUCUCCCUGCGCGGGACCGGUCUCUCUCCGCGCAGACGCGCUCGGGGACCGGUCUCGACUGCCAGGGACCGGUUGCCUCGCCGGCUGCGCAGCACUGCUCACUGGGGGACCGGUCUCUCCUAUCUGGGACCGGUCCCCAAGAGUAAAACUCUCAGGACUCAGCCAAAACUCUAGAAAUCGAUCUUUUAGGCCGGUAUAUCAUCGACGGCCCUCCACCGAGUGUGGAAAAGUUCGGAACACAGAUCGAACACUUGAACCUCGCAAUUUGCAAAAGUCCAGUGUGCUACAAAAAUGGGCGAGUUAUUGCUUAUGCAUCGCGCCAAUUGAAGAGUUAUGAGAAGAACUACCCGAUUCACGACCUUGAGUUAGCCGCAGUGAUCUUCGCGCUAAAGCUUUGGAGGCAUUACCUAUAUGGUGAACAUUGUGAGAUAUACACAGAUCACAAGAGCCUCAAGUACUUGUUCACCGAGAAGAAAUUGAAUAUGCGGCAACGGCGGUGGUUAGAGUUGCUAAAGGACUACGAUGUCACUAUACUAUACCACCCUGGGAAAGCCAAUGUCGUGGCCGAUGCUCUAAGUAGAAAAUCGGCGAAGAACUUACCGAUGGCAAUUACGCCUCAACUGCUAUUGCGAAAGGAGAUGCAAAGGCUUGGGUUGGAAGUGGUAGCGCCGGGAGUGCCGGCUACCCUUGCCGCAUUAGUCGUGCAACCGACCCUAUUCGAGAGGAUUAAAGAGUUACAAGCUUCGGAUCCUUAUCUCCAAAAGGUUCGAGGUGAAGUUGAAGGCGGUAGCGCCGAAGACUUUGGCGUUUGGACCGAUGGCGCAGUUCAAUUUCGAAAUCGUUGGUGCGUGCCUAAAGACGAUGAGUUACGAAGGGCGAUUAUGCAAGAGGCACACCAAUCCCCUUAUAGCAUACACCCCGGCGGCACUAAGAUGUACCAAGAUUUGAAAGAGCACUAUUGGUGGCCGGGCAUGAAGAAAGAUAUUGGGGAAUUCAUGGCGCAAUGUCUAACGUGCCAACAGGUGAAAGCGGAGCGCCGAUUUUCGGCGGGAAAGCUACAAAGUCUAUCAAUUCCCGUUUGAAAAUGGGAAGAUAUAGUGAUGGACUUUAUUACCGGUUUGCCUCGAUCACAAGGCGGCCACGAUGCGAUAUGGGUGAUAGUGGAUCGAUUGACAAAGUCGGCACACUUCUUGCCGAUACAUACUACGUGGUCGGGAGACAAGUGUCACACCCCGCCCCGAGACCGCUACAGUUUGGCACGGUUCGGGCGCGCCGAGCGGACCGCCGAACGGACAGCACCUCCCCUGUCCGCCCAAGGCUAAAGCGACGAGAUUGUGUACAUCAAGUUCCCAGGAAAACACUUGAAUAUAAAGAAACAAUCAUACAACAACUGGCGAGAGCACAAACAGUGCAGAACAAUACGAGAGCAAGCAUCACAAGUAGAAUCAUACAAGUGAAUAAAAGAGAGAUACUACUAUCUAUUACAUCACAUUUGACAUUUACAUCCAUUCAACCUUUUAUACAACUUGAUUACAUUUAUNAAGCUUCCAAAAUGAAUACAUAAUCAUCUCACAUGUAUAUAAUGCUAGCUAUCCAAAAUACAUCAUGUCAUCUAUAACCAUGCACACGAGGGUGCUCUAGUACAAUAGGAAAGCUCUACUAGCUAGCUAGGGCGCUAUGCCCUUACCGCGAUCACCUGCCGGUCCGCUCACGUGUGUACCUGUACCCCAAAACCACACGGGGUGAGAACUAUAAAAAUAUAGUUCCCAGUGGGUUCGGCCGCCGACUCCGCCGAUCUUCCCACUAGGUCUAAGCUGGCACAGAUAGAUAGAUAGAGAGAUAAAUAGAUAUUGAACUGCAACUAUGAUCUAUUGUGCCAUCAAAUGCAAGGAAUGCAUGCAAUAUCAUUUAUCAUGCUAGUAUGCUUUAACAAUGUAAUGAAUACCAAUACAACAUAGUUAUGUAAACCUCUAACAUAUGCUAUGUCUAAUCAUGGUAUGAAUGCAAAUCUGCUUAUGCAAUUCAUGUCAUUACCCAACCCACUAGGCUACCCCACCUAAGGUCUCAACCACAUAGGUGAAGGACUACCCCGCCCUUGUCUCACCCGUCUCACAACUCUAAUGCUACGGUAAAGAGCUACCCUACUCUUACCCGACUCGUAUCUCGAAUGCUAUAAGCUAAAAGAGCUACCCCGCUCGUUGCCCGACUCAGAUCUCAUGUCCUAUAGGUGAAGAGCUACCCCGCUCCUCGCCUAACUAAUACUCAAAUGCCUAAGGGCAAGAGCUACCCCGCUCUUCGCCCCGACUCUAACUCAAACUCAUAGGUCAAGAGCUACCCCGCUCGUAGGUAAAGAGCUACCCCGCUCGUAGGUAAAGAGCUACCCCGCUCAAAGGUCAAGAGCUACCCCGCUCGUAGGUAAAGAGCUACCCCGCUCAUAGGUAAAGAGCUACCCCGCUCAAAUCUCACCGGUGAAGGGCUACCCCGCCCUUCGCCCGAUUCACUUCCCAGUCCAAUGGGUGGGGAGCUACCCUGCUCGUAUCCCACCCGAUGAGCUACCCCGCUCGUGAGCUACCCAGCUCGUGUGACAACUCCGGAGUGCACUGCUUAUGGGGAGCGACCGCCACAAGCCCAAAACAGACUAUGUGAGUAUGAUCCAAUCCUCGCCAACUGAGGAUACCCUGUCAACUAGGUUAACAAUCACUUGAUAAUCCACCUAUCCCUAGGUCCAUGUCAAGUGUCUCAACCACACUAAAUCUCGAUGCCACUCACCUAGGUCUAAUCAACUCUAGGUUCCACAACACUAGGUUUAAUGUCAACCUAUGUUUAACAACAUUAUAUUAAUGCCACUCGAUCUAUCCUAGGUUCACGACACUAGGUUUAGAUGCCACAUAAUCUCCAUAAUUAACAAUAGGUUAACAUUCAUUUCAUCUAGCAUAUAUGUUCUAUAAAGCCAACAUGCAUCAUAAUGCUAAUAUGCCAUUAUCAACUAGCAUGCAAUCCAUUCUUAAUGCUACAUGCAUACAAUCUCCAUUACACUAGUACACAUGUCACUAGUUUCAUUAUCGAGUCCAAGUUCUUUAUUUUCUUUUCAUUAUAGGAUCUCAUGUCUAAACCUUAGUCCUCAUGCAUUCUAUAUUUAGGUGUCAAGUCCAUAAUACUACACAACUAGACAUGCAUUCAAGGAAAGUAGAAAUAUAAUAAUACAUACAUCCUAUAAUGCAUAAGAAACAUAUGUGCAAUAUGACCAAAGAUCUAACUCGGACAUAGAAGGAAGCCCGAUUGCUUCGGAUAGACACCCCCCACCUUUUUUAUAGCGUUCCGAUUGCUCGUCGUCACUCGCAAUCGGCCUCCCGCGGCGCACGCCGCUCGGCUCGACCCUAUUCGCGCGCGACCAUCGAAUGACCUCCGCUUUGCGAUCCGAGGAUUAUAGGUCUUCGGUUUCCUGUUACGAUGCUCGGGAUCCAAUCCCACGAUUUAUGGAAGCUGCCUCGGCUCCCGGGUCAACCCUGAACUACGGAACCUUGUUUCAGCCGGAACGUCGCACCUGCUCGACGAAUCGACGAACCGUCGCUUCCUACGCGUUCGGAGACAUAACAAUUAAGUUUCUGACUACUCAAUUUAGAUCAAACCCAACUAUUUCCAAGAACCCCAUUUUUAACCCUAGGUUUGAUGCUAGGCAAAAAUCCACCAUUUGGACCCUAGCUUUAAGCAAUAAACAUCUAAUUAGCAUCUAAGAAUGCUACUAAAUCCAUUUCUAGAGCAUUUAAAUCACACCCUAGAGAUCUACCAUUAAAGCCCUCAUUUGGAGCCUUAUUUUGCAACUAGGCAAUAAACCACCAUUAGAGCUUAGGAUUCAAGCUCUAAUCAUCUAUUUAGUAUGCUAGGGUUCCUCUAAAUCCAUUUAUAGGGAUUAAAAUCCAAGCUUUAAAGAGAUGCCAUUAAAGCCUCACAAGCUUACCUCCAAAGCUUGCCCUCAAAGUGGAGAAGAUGAUGAUGAUGAUGGUGAAUCCUCUCUUGGCCUCAAUCUCCACCAACUUCCCCUCCUUCUUCACUUCCUAGAGAGAGAGAGAGAGAGUUUGAGGUGUUCUUUUAGGUUAGAAUGGUGUGAGGGAGAGAGGGAAAUGAGUUAGCACCUUUGUAUACACUCUCAUGGUGUUACAAGUGCAAACAGCCCCCUCAACAUUCAUUUUAAUACACAGCCCCCGCGGGGCCAAUUUUUUGUAUAGGGGACCGGUCCCUGGCAGUGAGAGACCGGUCCCCGAAGGUCCAGAAUUCCAGCAUUUUUAGGACUUAGCCAAAUUUCAGCCUUUUUCAUUUUCGGGGUCCGUUUUCGCUCGUUUUCGCUCGUUUGACCUCCGAUUCGUUUCAAAUCGAACCGAGACUCUCCAAACAUGUUUUCAAACAUGUUUUCAUCAUCUUUUCAUCCACGCUAUCGCCGGAUUUAGCUCACGGCCCAACUUAGCCUUUCGGGUUCCGUUUAGCGCCUACGCGCACCAAAACGCCCGAAUGCUUCCAAACCUCACCGAACCUCACCAAAACCUUUCGAAUGGAUUUCCAACCAAUUGAACACCAUAACUUCAUGAUUUUAGAAGUCCGGUACCUUACAACAAGCUAGCUCAAGUUUAUCUCGACGAGGUUGUGAGACUUCAUGGGGUUCCGGUAUCAAUUGUGUCGGAUCGAGACCCCAGGUUCAUAUCCCACUUUUGGAAGAGCUUGCAAGACGCGCUAGGCACACGGUUCGACUUUAGCACAGCAUUUCAUCCUCACAGUGAUGGACAGUCGGAGCGGAUAAUACAGAUCCUUAAGGAUUUACUUCGGGCAUGUGUACUAGAUUACAAGGGAGGAUGGCAUGAUUUCUUGCCGAUGGCGGAGUUCGCAUAUAAUAACAGUUAUCAAGAGAGUAUAGCGAUGGCGCCAUUUGAGGCACUAUAUGGUCGGAAGUGUCAUUCUCCUAUUCAUUGGAGCGACGUGGGCGAGAGAACGGCUCUUGGCCCGGAUGUGGUACGGGAGGCGGAAGAAAAGGUUCGUCUUGCCCGUCAACAGUUAGUGACGGCGCAAUCUCGGCAAAAGAGCUAUGCCGACAAGCGAAGGAAAGACUUAGAGUUCGCGGUUGGAGACUGUGUAUUUUUUAGAGUGUCGCCGAUGCGUGGAGUAAAGCGGUUUGGGGUCCGCGGGAAGCUAAGCCCCCGUUAUGUUGGACCAUUUGAGAUACUAGAGCGUGUGGGUGCGGUGGCGUACAAGCUCGCACUACCACCGAGACUCGCGGGAGUUCACAACGUGUUUCAUGUGUCAAAUCUCCGAAAGUAUGUUCACAAUUCGACACAUGUAUUGGAGUACGAGCCCGUGGAGUUACGUGAGGAUAUGUCUUAGGAGGAGUACCCGGUGUGCAUCCUCGAUCGAGAAAAAAGGAAGUUACGGAGUCGCAAAAUUCUAUAUGUGAAGGUCCAAUGGAGCAACCAUGCGGUGCGAGAAGCCACUUGGGAGCUCGAGGAGACCAUACGGAGAGAGUAUCCGCAUCUAUUUGAGUCGACGAGUUAAGGUAUGCGUAAUUUCGCGGACGAAAUUAUUUUAAGAGGUGGAGAAUGUAAUAUACCGAAAAUUCGGAAAAUAAAUAUUUAACUUUAGUCAAAUUGACCAAAGUGCGAGGAUGGAACACUUCGGAAAGUCCGAAGGUGUUAAUAUGAUCAAAAGUGCAUUAUGGGAGGUUUUCGAGAGCUAAAGAAUCAAAAAUCUGCAAACUGUAGUUUUUGAGCUCUCGGGGACCGGUCCCUCUCUCGGGGACCGGUCCCUGGUAGGAGAGACCGGUCCCCGAACGCGUGAGAAAUGAGAAAGGCCGAAAAUCGGCUAAGUACCAGAAAAUCAGCUCUCGGGAACCGGUCCCUGCGGGGAAAGACCGGUCCCCGAGAGACUGGUCCCUCUAGGAGAGACCGGUUGCCCCACGCGAAAGCUCUGCUGAGCUGCGGGAGAGCUCUCUGGGAUCGGUCCCAAGUCGGGGAGACCGGUCCCCGAACACGAAAAGGGCCCAGUUUGGGCAGUUCAAUAAAGUGAAAGUUUAGGGGCUUACUUGCAUUUAUGCAACCCAACGGUUAUGUAGAGGGCUAUGAGGGCUUUUUCCUCUCAUUCUCUCCCUCUCACACACCCUCUCCUCUUUUUCUCUCUCUAGAAGACAAGAAGGAGAAGAAGAAGACAAGGAAAAGAAGAAGAAGAAAAGGAGAAAGAAGGUGAAGAAGAAGCUAAGAAGUGAAGCUACCUCCUCUUCUUCCUGUUUGGAGCAACAUAAGAGCAAGCUUAGAGGUAAGCUUGAACCCUAUUCAUGGUAGAACCCAAACUAGGGUUUGGGUUAAGCUAAAAAUAGUUUUUAUAGAGCCUUUAGAGUAUUUGGAGCUAUCUUUUGCUUUUUUUAGAGAUCAAACAAUAGAUUGGGUGGAGGUGGUGAAGCUUGAAGGUAAGCUUCAACCCCUCUCAUGGUGAAACCCUAAAAUGGGUUUGGAAUGAGCUAAGGAUGGUUUUAAUGGAGUCUCUAGAGUAGAUUAAGCUUUCUUUUGCUUAUCUUUGAGAUCAAAACCCUAGUUUUGAUGUGGGUUGAGCUAGGGCACCCAAAUUUGGGGCUUUUGCUUGCGAGGGUUUCAAAGUGAAAUCGACCCUCUAGAAACCUAAUUGGGGAUAUUUCCGACGCGUUGGUGCGCUUGGUUUAACGUUACAAAAAGCCUAUGCAAAGUUAUGAGCAAAAUGGCCUAAUAAGGCUUCGUUUUGCCACAGGUGAUGAACUAGGAGCCUAAAAAUUCCAAGAAAAUCAUUGUAGCAUCCUAAUACGCCUACAAGGUGGGUGGUGCUAUCCAAACUUGUUGGAAUUCCUUCUAUGCCUAAUGUGUCAUUCAAUUGAGCAUAUAUUUAUAUUGUUGCAUGUAUUAUAGGGUAGAUGUGAUGAUAUACAUGUGAAUGUUGCAUAAUGUGAGUACACAUGCUAUUUGAGAUGUUUGAGAGCCUAUUUAACCCUAUAUGUAUGCAUGAGAUGUAAUGUGAGCACCCAAUGAGAGGAAAGAACAAAGUGACACAAUAAAAUAUAGACCGAGUAGCAUUCGACAAUGUAAAGUAAAGUGACACUAGAGGUAGUGUGUGUGGCAUCAAAGAGAAAUGUGACACAAAGAACAAUGCUAAUGUUUAGAGACAAGUAAAGAAAACGAAAGUGGCAUAAAGAACGAGUAAAGUUAAAGAACGAUGAUUGCUAGAGUUAGCAAAAUAAAGUGAUGUAAAGAACACUAGAGUUAGUGUGAAGACAAUGAUUGAACUAUAUAUCCUUAGAGUUAAGGAUCGAUCAUACUUGCUAUGAGUUCUGUGCUCGAGGGCGGUCGCUCCCCCUCGGGCGAUGUGCUCCGGAGUUUUUGCAUCACGGGUUGGAGUAAACCCGAGGACGGUCUUAGUGGGAGGAAGCUGAGGGCCCACGAUGAUGGACUUACUGUGGGCAAGUUAAUAUGGCGAAACCCCUGGGUUAGCCGUGAGAUUAAAGAGCAAAGAACAAGUCUAAAGAACAAAGAGUAAAGAACAAAGAAUCUGCAUACUUGCAUGAGUUACAUUGAGCAUAUUUCUUGCUUUAUUGUUCAGGCAUAUUAGCAUCAUGAUUAUAGUUUGGUUACUAUUCUCUUAUCCUUUCUAUUAUGCCUGAGUUAGCCCUAGUGGGAAAGUCGGUGAGAUUGGGGCCGAACCCACUGGGAACGUUGUUGUAGUUCUCACCCCACUAUUCCACAGAGCCGAGACCGAGCGAGCCGGCGAGCGACCGCGGUAAAGGUAUCGCACCGCUGUUGAAGCAAAGAAGGAGAAGAAGGAAAGAGAAGAAGAAGAAGGAGGAGAAGAAGAAAAAGAAGGAGAGCUUGGAGGAGAUCAUCUCCAUCACCUUCUCCUCUCCCUCUUCAUCCCUUUGGAGCAGCUCAAGAGGUAAGCUCUUGAACCCUAAUGGUAGAACUUAGGGUUUUUGGGUUUUUGGCUUUUAAGAUGAGGUCAAAUGGACCUCUAGCACCAUUAAUGGUGGAAUAGAGCUAGGAGCUAGGGUUCUAUAGUACAAAUUGCAAGAUGUGAACCCUAGGGCACCCAAAUAGGGUUUUUGAUAAAUCAUGAGAUUGAUCUCAUUUGAUAGCUUGUAAACCUAAUUGUUAGGUGUCUAAACGCGGAGGCGAAGUCGGAUUUUCGAUUCAUCGAGCGGGUAAAACGCUAUCGGCAAAAUAUAGCCUAUUGAGCGCCGUUUUGGACCAAGGAGGCCGAGACAUCGUCGUAACGUUCGGCGAGAAGCAUUUCUAGAACCUUCAUACCCUCAAAAGGUGGGGGGGUGUCAUCCCGAAGCAACCGAACUCUUUUCUAUGUCUUAGAAUAACAUAUAAUCUCAUCUCUUGCAUGUUGCAUUGUAGGAUUGCAUUGUAGUACCUUUUCCUUAUGCUUCUAAAUGUUAAUCUAGUGUACAUGGAAUACUUGGUGAAAUAGAUAGGUAAGGAUUGGGUCGGAACAUGGAUCCUAUAGUGCUAAGGAAAAGAGAUGAACUCGAUGGUUAUUUAGUGACAUAGAGAGUGGCAUUACGUAGUGUCACGUCCCGCUAUCGCCAAUUUGGUCGAUCCGGGCCCGCGCACAGACGCCGAACGAACAGCACCACCUCUGUUCGCCCAAGGCUCAACAACAACGAGUACAUGUAUAAAGAAAUAAACAAUUCUCAGGAUCACAUUUCAAUAUACAUGGCUUGCACGAUGGCAAGCAAUAAACACAAGUGAUAGUAAAGCUAGCUAAACAUGAAAUUUCACUGUAAUUUAAAACUUUAAACUAACUUGCAUAACAGAAACAUCUAGUUAUUUACAUACACUUUACUACAUUCAUUUACAUGUCUCUGUACAUCGAAAUAGAUGAUACAUGAACUCAAACUGGUAACCACUACAACUCGGGUGUCCACUAGCUAGGCUGCUGGGCUCUUGCCACGAUCCACGGCCUCGAAACUCGCACUGGAACCUGUAUGGUUAGUGGUGUGAGAACUACAAGAAAGUUCCCAGUGGGUUCGGCUGCCGACCUCGCCGACUCACCCACUAGGUCUACUCAGGCAUAUGUAGGCAAGAAAAGUAAGCAGAUAGUAACCAACUAUAACAUGUAACUACUACAAUGCCUGUACAAAGCUGAAAGAAGUAACAGAUAUGAAGACUGUAAAUAUGCAUGCAUGCUUUUCAUUAACUUUACCCAAUCUUUUGGUUAACCCUCUGGUUAACAACUGGACAAGUACGUUAGUCCUGGGGCAAGUACGUUAGCUCAUAUAUUUACCCAAUUCACUGGUUAACCCUUUGGUUAACAAUAACUCACUAACGAAAUCCCUCACGGGCCCUAAGCUGCCUCCCGAUGGGACCGUCUGUCGGACAAGUACGUUAGUCCUGGGGCAAGUACGUUAGCCCAACAAGUGACUACUCCGGAGCUCACUGCCUGGGGGGAGCGACCACCACCAAGCUAAGAAAACAGACUAUGUGAGUAAGAUCUGAUCCCCCUUUAGAGGAUUCAACUGACAACAAUGUCACAAUUUAACUCUAACUAGUUCUUUAUACUAGUUUCAUAAUUGCAUUUCUCGAUGCUAACCAAAUCUCUAGUCAUGAUGUCACCAAGUUUACUAUUGUCUUGGUCCUUUACAGUUUCAUACAUUCAUAGGGUUCUAUGUCCACAUUCUAAUGUUCACAAAUUCUCAUUGUUGAUAGGAAUUCACAUUUUCACUCGCUCAAUGCCAAACACCCUAUAAUGCAUGACUACAAAUAUAAAUAUGCUCAACGAAGAAUUAUAGACAUAAAAGGUGAUUCAAAGAGUUCGGAUAGCACAACCCACCUUUCUUUGAUGCCGGAAUGGGAGAAAUGCGCUUCUAGCGCUUUCCCGAGAAUCGCGACCCGCGCUCGUGACUAUCGACGCCGAAAAUCUUCUUUUGGCGAUAUCUUCGCGUAGGAGCGACGGAUUGCCGAACCGACUUCGCCAGCGCGUUUCUUUUACCCCCAAUUUGGUUUGUACGCGGUCAAUUUCACGUCUGGGCUUCUAUCCUGCAAAAGUGCAUUAUCGGGGUCAGUUUCUAUAAAAACUCCUGCUCAAUGCAAGUUUCGCAAUUACAUAGCGUAAUUCAAUUCUUAUUAGCCCAAGAGCCUCAGAACAGUUAAUAAAAACUGUCCAAAUACUUCAAUUCCAUUUUUCUCUCUAUCAUUUCCCUUUCUUUCAUUUUUUUUCUUCUCAUCUUAUUCUUUUCUUUUCUUGCUUUGCUUUCUUUCUUUUCAUUCAUUCUUUCUUUCUUUUCUUUUCUUUUCUUUUCUUUCCUUUCUUUCUUUCUCUUCCCUGAGGUUUUCUUUUUCGUUCUCUUUUGCUUUUCUUUCUUUUCUUUCUUUCUUCCUUUCUUUCUUUCUUGCUGCCCCUGCAGGGCAGCAGCUGCUGCUGCCACUGCUGCUGCGCAUGCUGCUGCUGCUGCUGCUGCUGAGCUGCUGCUGCCACUGCUGCUGCGCAUGCUGCUGCUGCUGCUGAGCUGCUGCUGCUGCUGAGCUGCUGCUAAGCAGCAUAAGCUGCUGCUGCUGCAGCUACUGCACUGCUGCUGCUGCUGCUGCAGCUGCUGCACUGCUGCUGCUGCUACUCCAGCAGCUGCUGCUGCUGCGCAUGCUGCUGCUGCUGGUGCUAAACUGCUGCUGCUGCUGCUGCUGCUGCUGACAGCAGCGUGCUGCAGCUGCUGCUUUAGCUGCUGCUGCUGCUGCUGUGCUGCGCAUGCUGCUGUUGCUGCUGUGCAAGCUACUGCUGGCUGCUGCUGUUCCUGCUGCUGCUGCUGAAGCUGCUGCUGCUCAGCAGCUCCUACUGCUGCUGAGGCUACUGCUGUUCCUGCUGCUGCUGCUGAAGCUGCUGCUGCUGCUGAAGCUGCAGCUGCUGCUGAAGCUGCAGCUGCUCAGCAGCUCCUGCUGCUGCUGACGUUGUUGCUGUUCCUGCUGCUGCUGCUGCCUUGCUCACAGCAGCAGCAAGAAGCUGCUGCUGCUCCUGCUCACAGCAGCAGCAAGGGCUGCUGCUGCUGCUGACAACAGGGAGAGAGAGACAAAAGGGAGAGGUUCAAAUCUUACCUCUUUUCUUCUUCUUCUCUUCUUCUUCUUCUUCUCUUUUUCCUCUCUUUUUCUUCUCUUUCUCCUUCUUUUCUCCUUCUCUCUCUCUCUACGUAUGGAACCAGAGGGAUAAGGAUGGAGGGGGGCUUGCCUGGCAGUUUAAUGGAAAUCCACUAAGCCUAUGCUAAUUACCAUUUUGCCCCUCGACUUAUCCGUUUAGUCAUACGGCUUAGAUACCUUUCGCAGUCCCUUUCAAACGUCCGAUUGAGCUCAAAUUUGACAGGCAUGUUCGGUUUUACUUAACAAGUCCAAAGAAAUUUUAACAUUUCAGUUUCGACCCUGUUUGGUCACUGCGAACUGUCCCGAACCGUAAUCUUUAUCAGAUAACUUCCAGAUGCUAUUUCUCUCUCUACAGGUGUCAGAAAAAUUUAAAACUUCAAAUCUAGCCUCAUAAAAAUGUUCCUGACAUCUCUGCCAAUUUUCAUAAUUUUCUGACACUGUGCAUUUUCUGCUAAUUUUCUCAGUCCCGUUCUUUACAGAAAAUUCUAAAGUUUCCGUUUUCACUCCGAUUUCACCCAAACAUGUCCAAAAGAUACCAAGGGACCUUCACAAGCUACCAAUCCAAUUUGGAAGCAAUUCCUUUGCAUUUUGACAUUAUUGGAGCCGAAUUAGCAAUAGAAUCAGCUCCAAUUUCAUUAUACGGCAGAAAUUUCUCCUUUUUGCACUAUCACUUCGCACUGAACACUUCAAAACCCUUUGAAAGCACACCCUUGGCUUUUCCAAAACUUCACAAUUGAUUCGGAGAUACCACAAUUUAUCCUUACGCCUUACUUUAAUUCUUUUAAUCAAAGUUAGCGUCGGAAAUCCGAAAUUCUCUUUAUAUUUCGUUUCGCGCCCAAUUUGCGCCGAAACACUUAUUUAUCUCCAGAAUUCAUUCACACGCAUCACAAAUCACUCGGGGAUGAUGUCCAACUAGCUCAAACCUCACUUUGAUCCCCUAGAUCAAAGUUGACAUCGCAACUCCAAGUUUCCAUAUGUUACACGUAGUGUACUUGACACUAGAGGUUCAUGAACUUAGGGAUAGGUGGAUUCCCUAGAAAAUGACUCGUGAACAAUGAACUUGGUAUAGCUAAGUAAAUAUGCAUGAACGUCAGAAUAGAUGAGUUCCGAGAGAAUGUUGGCCUUAGUUCGUAGGGUAUCCUCACGUGGAGAGGAUAGAUCAAGCUCACGGUCUGUUAUUUGGGGUGGUAAAGCCAUUCAUAUUCUCACAUGGAGAGGAUUGGUCAUCGAGUACUCCGGAGUGUUGGGCGGUAGGACAGAGUUGUCCGCAGACAGUCCCGGGUUCGGGGGCACAUGGAGCCUCCUUACCCAAUGGGAUGGAUAUGUGAGUCGUAGGCAAACCCAAGGGUUUCGCCACAGAUUGGGUAAAUGAAAAGUUAAUAAUGACAUUGAACAUUGCUUAUCGAACAUGGAUUGAAUCUGUUAGCAUGAUAGUAACCUUCUACUAUAUGAUGCAUGCAUUCAUUACACAUGAUUAUGGGCAUAGUAGCAUAGCUUUCCUAUUAUGUCUUUACAGCUUUGAUAUAUAGAUCAUCUAUCUAUUUCGUUGUUACUUGUGCCCACUUGGACCUAGUGGGGAGAUCGGCAGAGUCGGCGGCCGAGCCCACUGGGAACUAUGGAAGAUAGUUCUCACCCCACUCUAUUUCGAGGGCUAGGUACAGGUUUGCCGGGCGAGGACCGCGGCAAGGGCAUCGCGCCCGACCAGUGAGAACUAUUGGUAGAGUAGUAGCUUUCGUUUUGCAUUAUGUAAGGACUGAGAUUUUGGCAGUGCGGCUAAACUCUUUGUUAAUAAUGUUUUUGUGUGUAAUUUAAAUACAUAAGCACUCGUCAAGUUUCAGGAGAAAACGGGUUAGAAUGGAGAAGUUACGCGAUCAUUAGUAUUCACUUAAGUGAAUACUAACUCUGGUUUUUCGGAGAAGCCACAGAGUAGAGUUAGCUUCUGGCGCGUAUCGGACUUCGUUCAUAGCAGUCCAAUAGCUCAUUUCGAACGAUUCAGCUAUUUUGGAACUAUUGGCGCUGACGGAUUUUGGGUUUGAUGCACGAAUUUCGAGAAAAUCUGAAAAUACAUGUUUUAUAUGUAUUUGUGUGUCACUUGUCUUUUGGAGAGAGAGAACAAAUUUCGCCCCGAAUUCGUGACCGAUCGAGGCGAAAUGAAAUGGUGAGUUUGUUGUCUCCGUUGUGCUGAUCGCACUAGCGUGAUCCGUUCGCAAAUCUGACGAACGGAUCUGCAGAUAUCGCGCAUUGAUUGAGGUGAGGUCGGUGUCACGCCCCGGGACCCAGUGGAAGCCCGCCCGGCACGUGCCCAGACCCGCCAUACGUCUAAAACGUAUAAGGCGUCUAAAAACAACAGUAAUAAAAGCAAUAAUAAAAGGCAACUAGGAGUAUCAGAGCAUAAUAAAGGUCUAAAUGCUACAACAAAGGAUAAGGAUAAAACUGUAAAUCCACUAAUAAAAGCAUAAAGUGAUACAAGAAAAUCCCAGAUACAAAUGCUAUNCCGAAAUACUUAUUUAUCUCCGAAAUUCAUUCCAACGCAUCACAAAUCACUCGAGGAUGAUGUCCAACUAGCUCAAUCCUCACUUUGACCCUCUAGGUCAAAGUUGACAUCGCAAUUCCAAGUUUCCAUAUGUUACAUGGCGGGUCUGGGCACGCGCCGGGCGGGCUUCCGCUGGGUCCCGGGGCGUGACAAUACAUGGAUACAAAAACCUCUCACUCUCUCAACUACAAAAAGAAAGAGUAGACCACCUAGGCAAAGUACCGCUCCUCGCUAGCUAGCUAAGCGAUCCCCUUGCCGCGAUCCCAUGCCUCCGCCGGUGCCGAAGGCUCUGAAAAGUAAACCACAAAACAGGGGCGUGAGAACUAUUAAAAAUAGUUCCCAGUGGGCAAUUACUGACUUCAGUGAAUGCACCACAAGGCCCAAAGCUACAAAAGAUGACAGUGACUAUAGAUGUAGAAAAGUGAAAGGUAAGUAACAAUAUAACUUACUACAACAUGAUAUCUCUACUUAGCAUAAAUAGCAUAAGUAUGAAAGCAAGUAUGCAUGAGGUAAAAGUCUCCAACUAUCAUGAUGUUCACAAUGCGAAAUAGUAAAGUUCCGUUGUUUACUAUUCUAGUCAAUGUCCAAGUAGUACACUAGGUUAUCAUCUGUCCACAUGUCAUAAUGAAUACUCAAAGUCAAAUCUGAAGAGACCCACCCGAAGGCUGUCUAUGGCCCUGAGACCCACCCGUAGGCUGUCUGGCCGGUGCCGAGCCUAAUGGCCCCGUGGUAGUCAUCAUCCCCACCCUAGGAAUGAGCCUGGCCCACGGCAAUCCACUUCGGCGCCCAAUCCCGCACGGCGAGUAUGAAUCGCGAUGUCUAUCUCCGGAGUGCCGGCUUGUAGGGAGCGACCCUCACAAGCAUGUGCGAAUGAGCACAAUGGCAAGUAGGUAAACGAUCUGUCGCAAGUACCAAGUCCUCAUGUCUAAUAACAUGGAAUGUGUCAAGUAUCUCAAUGGCCUAUCCCUAAGUCAUCAUGUCUCUAACAUGGAAUAUAGCGGAUAUGUAGUGGCCUAUCAAUAUAUCUCUAUGUUGCAGUUUCAUAGUUUACUAGUUUCAAGUGCCCCUUGAUGACACUCUUGUUCUCUAUGUCAAAGUAUGACAACUAUGUUCCAAGGUACGUAUUCCAAGUCAUAAUCCUCAUAAGUGAUGUAUCUUCCACUUGCAAAAUAAACACUUUUCCCAUAUGCAUGCAUUCUACUCAUAUAGCUCUACUAUAUAGUGAAAUUUUCAUAAUACACAAGGCAUGCAUUUUAAGUGCUCUAAAAUUCAUAUAAAUUCCAUUUAGCAUAGAAAUGAAUUUAAAAAUAUUUUACAACAAAUAGAAAUAGCAUAGGGGCCAUUUCGCCCCAUUUUCACGAAGCCAAACCCACCGUCGUCAACGAAAGCUUUCGUUUGCCACGACGAAGGCGUCCGCCACACUCCUAGUACCCUAAAGGUAUGAAAACAAGUGUCAUCUAGUCGAAACGAACGACGCUAAGUUCAAUCUUUAACCAUAUAGGGCUAGGGUUGAAGAAAAACUCACCGAUUACGAAGGAAGCUCUCUCGAUCUCCAAAUGGGAGCUAGAGUCCUUCCAAUCUAACCUAAACAAAGGUUCUAAACCCAUCAAUUUGGUUCCAAAGCCCUCAAAUCAAAAAAACCCCCAAAACUAACCCUAGAAUCCCAAUCUAGGGUUUCAUCUAGUAAAACCUAGAAAAACAUGUAUCAAGUAGGGAUUACAUGCUACCAACCUCAAGAGGGGCUUCAAUCCAAGCUCAAAACCAAGUAGGGUUGAAGUUUGAUCCUCCACAAAGCUCCAACCGCAAGCUCGAAGCCACCAAGGUGAGAAAAUGGGGAAAAGAUGAUACUCCAAAGUCUCCAAGCAAGCUCCCUCUCCUCUUCUUCUUCUUC